rnacentral:rRNA from 1 species
AUGUGUGCACAGGGGCUUACCUGUGGGCUGCCAUUGCUUCAUUGCUUAGUGUUUGAAGCCUUCCGAAACCAGCAAAGAACCGGCAAAGCAAAAAACAUGGUAGGCCAAGUCCAGAAUCGAGAUAUCGUCCAAAUGACCAACUCAGAACUAACAGCACGUGAAUGUGUCUUUGGCGUCUGUAAAAUUUAUGUCACUAUAGAAGCUUCUAUGGCGUUUGUAAGAAAUGGUGUUACCAUAAAAGCUACUGUGGUCUUUGCUCAGAUAGGGUUUCAGAUCAACAGGGUUACUGAAAAAAAUGGUGUUACUAUCCGCUUCUUGCUCAUGCGGAUUUCAUACCUGCCCAUAACAGGGCUCACAGUCAGCAAGGCUGAUGCUUUUGCUGGGCAUCUGGAACCUAUCCUUUUGGGGGUUUUCGUUUCUGCAACAGGAUGCUAUAUUGUGAGACUUUGUGUUUUGUUCCGUUAUUUUUUGUAG